AAGGGAAGAUUCUAACUGGGUCUGCAUUGAUUUCACAUCUUUAUUUCACAAUCUUAGGUCACUCAGAUUGUGAAAUCAAUACAGACCCAGUUAGAAUCUUCCCU
rnacentral:miRNA from 1 species